rnacentral:pre_miRNA from 1 species
UUCCGGAGUUUCACACCCAUCAGAUCAGUCAACUAAUGGAUGUGAACCUCCAGAAAA